rnacentral:rRNA from 1 species
UACGUAGGGGGCAAGCGUUGUCCGGAUUCAUUGGGCGUAGAGAGCGUGUAGGCGGCCAGGUAGGUCGGUUGUGAAAACUGGAGGCUCAACCUUCAGAGGUCGACCGAAACCAUCUGGCUAGAGUCCGGGAGAGGAGAGUGGAAUUCCUGGUGUAGCGGUGAAAUGCGCAGAUAUCAGGAAGAACACCCGUGGCGAAAGCGGCUCUCUGGGACGGUACUGACGCUGAGACGCGAAAGCGUGGGGAGCAAACAGG